rnacentral:tRNA from 1 species
GCGCGGGUGGCGAAAUUGGUAGACGCGCAUGCUUGAGGGGCAUGUGACCCUGGUCAUGGAGGUUCAAGUCCUCUCCCGCGCA